AUUGAACGCUGGCGGAAUGCUUUACACAUGCAAGUCGAACGGCAGCACGGGGGCAGCCCUGGUGGCGAGUGGCGAACGGGUGAGUAAUACAUCGGAACGUGCCCGGUCGUGGGGGAUAACGUAGCGAAAGUUACGCUAAUACCGCAUACGAUCUGAGGAUGAAAGCGGGGGACCUUCGGGCUUCGCGCGAUCGGAGCGGCCGAUGUCAGAUUAGGUAGUUGGUGGGGUAAAGGCCUACCAAGCCGACGAUCUGUAGCUGGUCUGAGAGGACGACCAGCCACACUGGGACUGAGACACGGCCCAGACUCCUACGGGAGGCAGCAGUGGGGAAUUUUGGACAAUGGGCGCAAGCCUGAUCCAGCCAUUCCGCGUGCAGGACGAAGGCCUUCGGGUUGUAAACUGCUUUUGUACGGAACGAAAAGGCUCUGGCUAAUACCUGGGGCUCAUGACGGUACCGUAAGAAUAAGCACCGGCUAACUACGUG
rnacentral:rRNA from 1 species